rnacentral:tRNA from 1 species
AUUUAUUUAGUAUAUUAGUACAUUUGACUUCCAAUCAAAAAGAUUGACCAAUCAAAAUAAAUA